UGUCUCAGUUCGGAUUGUAGGCUGAAACUCGCCUACAUGAAGCUGGAGUUGCUAGUAAUCGCGAAUCAGCAUGUCGCGGUGAAUACGUUCCCGGGCCUUGUACACACCGCCCGUCACACCAUGAGAGUUGGCAAUACCCAACGUACGUGAUCUAACCCGCAAGGGAGGAAGCGUCCUAAGGUAGGGUCAGCGAUUGGGGUGAAGUCGUAACAAGGUAUC
rnacentral:rRNA from 1 species